GCUAUCCAGUCUUGCUACAACGGUGCAGGAGCUAAGGUGUGCGAAGUAGACUUCGAUUGUAGACUGGUUUGAAGCGUUAACUCAUAAUAGACGAUGACAGGAUCUCUUGUCACCAUCCUGGUUGCUGUUUUCGUCAUAGCCACUGUCGUUAAAGAAGCUCAGGCAGCUUGUUGUAGAGCUGACAAAGUCGGAUGGUGUGCAGACUGUACUGAGAACACUCCAUAUUGUGGAUAUGGAAAGUGUAAUAUAUUCGGCUGUGCUUGCGACGGAGGCUGCAGAAAGGACUGCAACCCCUGGUACAGCGAUUGGAAUCAACCACCUUUCAUGAAAGGCUAUUACCGAAAAUGCGAAUGCCUAAACAAGAGAUCUGUGGAAGAUAGGACCGGGGGAGGUAUUGUCGCUAGAGAUACAUACCUUAAUUGAUGCAAACAGAUAUGCUCAAAUUCCAAGGCCUAAUUGAUAAGAGGAAAGAAGCUCUGAUUGGUAUUAAUAUUCAAAUAAAAAAAGCCUCACGUUGUCGAGUAAAUGAAGAUAAUGGUGAUUUGUUGGUGUUUAUGCGAACUUUCCUUUUUCGGUUUUCACAAAUCAUAUCACUUUGCUUUACAGCAUGUGCACAUGUUGCCUAAAUAAAUAUUUAUUUCUAUUUCAAAUCCAAUUCGUGAUUUUGUGAGAUGAUAUUUGCAAUUUUAACUGAAAUACAGAACU